rnacentral:tRNA from 1 species
UCCCUGGUGGUCUAGUGGUUAGGACUUGGCGCUAUCACCGCUCAGGCCCGGGUUCAGUCCCUGGUCUGGGAA